GAUUAUGGCUCAGAACGAACGCUGGCGGCAGGCCUAACACAUGCAAGUCGAGCGCGCCCUUCGGGGUGAGCGGCGGACGGGUUAGUAACGCGUGGGAACGUACCCUUUGGUAGGGAAUAGCCACUGGAAACGGUGAGUAAUACCCUAUGAGCCCUUCGGGGGAAAGAUUUAUCGCCAAAGGAUCGGCCCGCGUUAGAUUAGGUAGUUGGUGGGGUAAUGGCCUACCAAGCCUACGAUCUAUAGCUGGUUUUAGAGGAUGAUCAGCAACACUGGGACUGAGACACGGCCCAGACUCCUACGGGAGGCAGCAGUGGGGAAUCUUGGACAAUGGGGGCAACCCUGAUCCAGCCAUGCCGCGUGAGUGAAGAAGGCCUUAGGGUCGUAAAGCUCUUUCGCCUGUGAAGAUAAUGACGGUAGCAGGUAAAGAAACCCCGGCUAACUCCGUGCCAGCCGCCGC
rnacentral:rRNA from 1 species